CAUAAGUAAGUGUUGUUGCACAACUAUUAUAUGUACUGAAUCUGGUUGACGAGAUUGCCAACUGGCUAGAAGCAGUUUUAUUCAUUCUCAUAGCACAUGAUAUAUUUGCUGGAGAGAGCUGCCAGAGAGAAUGGGGAUCGGGGCAGAACCAUCUGGUCCCACAGUACCUGCAGUUGAACUUUCUCCAUUGCAUCCAUCUGAAACUCUCUUGAGACAAAUCAAUUACAAAAUACCAAGAAUAUGUUCUCUGUUGCGAUACGGUGGGGAUGCUAGCCAAGACAUGAUAACGAUGAUGCACAUAUCAUGCUAUGUCGUGCGUUGAUGGGUCGGGCAGAGGCUAUCCUUGCCAGGUCCUCCGAGUUCUACCACAAUAGUAACAACUACAACAGCGCACUCGACAACAUGCAGAAUUCACAGCAAUACAUUUUGUGGAGCACGAACAUGAACACAAGAGUCCUACCAGAGUACUUCAUCAGCAUCAAGUUUCCAGAGUGCGCAACACCUGCAAGGAUCAAUGGGAGCUUUCCAAUCCUUGGAGACGCGAUUCAGUGGUUUGUUGCGAUUCGCCAAGCUGUAGAUAUUGCAGGGAACUUGCAAUCGAUUCAAGAUAAAUUUAUGUUCUUUGUCUGCUGCAUUUGACUAAUGUAAUUGUGCGGUCCCUACCAUGCAACCAUACAAUAA